rnacentral:rRNA from 1 species
GUAGGUGGCAAGCGUUGUCCGGAAUUAUUGGGCGUAAAGCGCGCGCAGGCGGUUCUUUAAGUCUGAUGUGAAACGCCCACGGCUCAACCGUGGAGGGUCAUUGGAAACUGGAGAACUUGAGUACAGAAGAGGAAAGCGGAAUUCCACGUGUAGCGGUGAAAUGCGUAGAGAUGUGGAGGAACACCAGUGGCGAAGGCGGCUUUCUGGUCUGUAACUGACGCUGAGGCGCGAAAGCGUGGGGUAGCAAACCAGGGAUUAGAUACCCUGGUAGUCCACGCCGUAAACGAUGAGUGCUAAGUGUUAGGGGGUUUCCCGCCCCUUAGUGCUGCAGCUAACGCAUUAAGCACUCCGCCUGGGGAGUACGGCCGCAAGGCUG